UUGGGAGUGAGAAGAUCAUUGACACCUAAAUUGGUUAAGACAUGCAAUUGGUGCAUUAUUUAUGCAUUUUGUCGAAUUGUGUUGGACCAUUAUUUGAAAUAAAUAAAAUAUUAGCGUAAUUACAAUCUUUUCAACUAUAUAUUGUGCACCAUAUGACUCCGUCCUUGAUGGUUACUAGAAAAUAACCGCGGCUUUGCCUCACAUUAGUAUACAUAGGCCAGGUCGAUUGGAUGGACCCAGUGUAGUUAUAAAGCCAGGUAUAUAAGAAUUAAUCAUAACUAAAUCUGUAUAUCCAAAAAAAAGGGCUACAUAAUCACAAAACUUUACAUUCAACUUACCCGAUAAUCUAGUUUUACAUACCAUCAAACUCAGUUGCUUUUAUUACUGACAAUGAGAGAUCAACUUUGUUUCCCCUUACAAAAGCAAUAAGAGGUUCAUAUCAAAUAUGUUUUCCUUACAAAGAUAUUACAUGAUCAAUACUUCGAGAUUAGCAUCAAUGGUGAAAUAAUGAGAUUUAACUAUUUGUAAUGAAUAGAAAGUAAGACAAUGUUUUCAGUGAAGAUAAUAAUAUAACUUAUCACCGAAUCCAUCGUCUUGUGAUAUCUCAUUUACCACAGCCUUGUUUGGCACGAGCAUUGCUCUUUCACUGAAUUGUACAGUGGUUAAAGUCCCAGUUCUGCACCUGCAUUUCUCAGUCCCAGCACUCUAUGUCAACAUAAGAAAAUGCAAAAAAGGCUAUGACACUACUGAAAAAUCGUUUUUUCGUGACUGCCCCACAGAUUUCGUGAUGGCGACAUAAACACAGUCACCAAGAAGACAUAUCGUGACAGGCAUUAGAACACCAUCACGAAAUUGGGUGUUUCGUGACUGGGAAGAGCAGCCCGUCACCGAGUUAUAGAGUUGGUGACGGUGCAGUAAUAUAAAGCCCUCACUAUACUAUGCGAUGGACUUAAAUGGGCCAAGCUGCUCUGCCUCUGUCUGAAACUGUGAACCACCAAAAACAGAGUGCUCUUCUCGUUCCCCAUGGCUCUUGCCCUAGUGAGCUCCACGCCUCCACCUCGACGCCGCGACUCUGCUCGUUGAUUCAUCGCCGGUAGUGAUGCCGGCGAAGGAGCCCGUACAUUCUCACCUCACCGUUGGUCUUGCCUCCCUUGCUCUCCUCUCUGACGGGCGUGCCGCCGCUGCUCUCCUCACGGUGGGUUUCGCCGCCGUCCCUGUGUCCUGUCCGUGGGUCGCGUCACCAUUGUUCUUCUCGCCGUGAGGUGUACUAAAAUUAUACUUCAUUUUUCUCGUACACUUGAUCCUAGAGCGAGUUUACUGCAGAUCAACGACAUCACCUGAAGUAUCUGUUGAACAUCCACAAGACUGUUCUAAUCAGUUUGAAGAAUGGGACACAGAGGAAGACUGCUGUUUUUGAUGCAUCAGAACUAGAAUUUUGAUAAUUGUAGAAUGGUUCUUUUAUGGAAAGCUCAGAAGACUUACUUUUUUCAAGUGGAGCUUGCUUCAUGAGCGGCCACCGAAGGCUGCUUCCCUCUAUUCUAUGGCAUUAUAUUGGGCUUGUCACUUCAAGAAUUGUUGGACUGAUACAAGACUUGUGUAGAAAUUUGUAGUGCAUAAUUAAAUAUUGUUUUUCUAUGAAUUAUGUAAGGACUCACGAUGUUCAAUGCUAAUAUAUGCUUUUGUGAGUUUGAAUUUGGACUCGGGUAAAAUAAGUGAUUUUGUUGUA